rnacentral:rRNA from 1 species
UACGUAGGCAGCGAGCGUUGUUCGGAAUUACUGGGCGUAAAGCGUGCGCAGGCGGUUCGUUAAGUCAGAUGUGAAAGCCCCGGGCUCAACCUGGGAACUGCAUUUGAAACUGGCGGGCUUGAGUGUGGCAGAGGGGGGUGGAAUUCCGCGUGUAGCAGUGAAAUGCGUAGAGAUGCGGAGGAACGCCGAUGGCGAAGGCAGCCCCCUGGGCCAACACUGACGCUCAGGCACGAAAGCGUGGGGAGCAAACAGG